rnacentral:lncRNA from 12 species
AUUUUAUUUUAUUUUAUUCAUAUUUUAGUGUGUGUGUGUGUGGGGAGGUGGGGACAGAGAGAGAGGGAGCAAGAGAAUCCCUGGUAGGUCCAGGUCCAGCAUGGAGUCUGUCGUGGGGCUGGAUCCCACAACCCUGAAAUCAUGAUCAGAGCUGAAAUCAAGCAUCUGACACUUAAUUGAACCAAGCACCCUCUACUUCAUUUUAAAUGUAAAACAUGUCAAAUAAAUGAUGUUUAGCUUGGAGCACCCAGAAAUAAGGCUUGGUAGAGUAGCAUUCUGCACUGGAGGGUGAGUGGUGGGUCAACCAUUAAGCCGCUGCCCUCCUGGGCCCCUCCAGGCACAGAGUGAACACCAUUGUGAGGUCACUCAGUCUGAUAGGUCACUCAGGCAGGGAUAGGGACACCUGGAAAGUUUCUUUAACUCAGGUUUAAGGCGGCGAUAAAUGUAUCAAGAAUGAGUGAACCCAUGUUGUGGAAUAGACUCUUGAUGCUUUUCAUUACCUUGGUGGAAGAAAAAGAAGGAAUGAAAUGCAAAAGCACAAUGGGAAGACUUUUAAUAGAGUGUCUUCCCAGGUGAAGGAGCAUUACAAGUGCUACAGUCUUCAACAUAAUCUAUGGCUGCUGAACUUAAUAGUCUUCUGUGUGCAUAUCUGAAGAAAUUCUAUGCAUUGGGUCUAAGCCUUUGUGAAUAGACAUGAUUCACGGAGUGACAACUACUGAAAAUGCAGGCUUAGGUGGAAUUCUUCUUCCAAUUAGGUGUACUUGCAUUCUGGGAAGCAGUGGUGCUGGCUACAUAUCCUCAUGGACAAAUGAAAGAACCUUGUACCCCAACCUGGCUCUCAUCACAGGUGAGUACUGUUCCACCAUGGCUUACCACAGUCUAGUCUACAGGUUGUUUUUUUUUUUUUUUUUUAUUGGUGUUCAAUUUACUAACAUACAGAAUAACACCCAGUGCCCGUCACCCAUUCACUCCCACCCCCCGCCCUCCUCCCCUUCUACCACCCCUAGUUCGUUUCCCAGAGUUAGCAGUCUUUACGUUCUGUCUCCCUUUCUGAUAUUUCCCACACAUUUCUUCUCCCUUCCCUUAUUUUCCCUUUCACUAUUAUUUAUAUUCCCCAAAUGA